GGUAGACAAAUCUUCAUAAAAAAAAACGCUAUUAACUCAGCCCUAGUUCUCAAAAUAUUUCCUUCUCCUAGAAAAAUCUCAAAUCUCUCUCAAAAACCUUCAUCGAUCAUCGGAAAUCUUCAUAUGAAACCUUCUUCGAUCAUCGAAAUUUUGUUUGUUAAUUGAAGAAAUUGUCGUCAGAGUGAGCAAAAUCUAGAAAUCAAGGAGGAAGACGUGAUGAAGCUCAGAGAAACAAGGCUUGCUAUCUAACAAAGCUUUAAACUCUUCCCAAGCAUCUUUCCUAGGCCAAAAGUAGUAUAUAUGGGCUAAGCGUGAUUGUUCCAAAUCCAGGAAUCUUUUGGUCAAAUGCAACUCCUUCUGCAUCCACACAAACAUUAGUACCACCAUUGGCUUCUCCAGCGGCUUCACUAGCACAAAUUCAAGCAACAUAAGGGAGGUUUUACUAGCACACUGCACACACAGCUUCUUCUGCAACAGGCAAAUGAGAGAUCAAAUGGAGAAACAAGAUGGUGUUCCUAAUUUGAGGUGGAAAAAUGAUCUUAAGACUGGUGUCCUAGAAGGUUAUUCAGAUGCAAGUUGGAUCACCAACAUAGACGAUUAUUCUUCUACAAGUGGUUGAGUGUUCUUGCUUGGGAGAGGUGUCAUUUCAUGGGCCUCUAAGAAGCAAACUUGUAUUACAAAUUCUUCUAUGGAGUCAGAAUUUGUAACAUUAGCAGCCGCUGGUAGAGAGGCGGAAUGGUUAAAAAACUUAGUCUACGAGAUUCCGUUGUGGCCAAAACCGAUAUUACCUAUUUCUA